rnacentral:rRNA from 1 species
UACGUAGGGUGCAAGCGUUGUCCGGAAUUAUUGGGCGUAAAGAGCUCGUAGGCGGUUUGUCGCGUCUGCUGUGAAAACCCGAGGCUCAACCUCGGGCCUGCAGUGGGUACGGGCAGACUAGAGUGCGGUAGGGGAGAUUGGAAUUCCUGGUGUAGCGGUGGAAUGCGCAGAUAUCAGGAGGAACACCAAUGGCGAAGGCAGAUCUCUGGGGCCGUAACUGACGCUGAGGAGCGAAAGCAUGGGGAGCGAACAGG